rnacentral:rRNA from 1 species
GUGCCAGCCGCCGCGGUGAUACGUAGGGAGCAAGCGUUGUCCGGAAUUACUGGGCGUAAAGGGCCUGUAGGUGGUUGAGUAAGUCGGAUGUGAAAUCUCAGGGCCCAACCCUGAGCGUGCAUCCGAUACUGCUCUGACUAGAGUCCGGUAGGGGAGCGUGGAACUCCUGGUGUAGCGGUGAAAUGCGCAGAUAUCAGGAAGAACACCGACAGCGGAGGCAGCGCUCUGGGCCGGUACUGACACUGAGGAGCGAAAGCAUGGGUAGCAAACAGGAUUAGAAACCCGGGUAGUCC